rnacentral:rRNA from 1 species
GACGAACGCUGGCGGCGUGCUUAACACAUGCAAGUCGAACGGAAAGGCCCUGCUUUUGUGGGGUGCUCGAGUGGCGAACGGGUGAGUAACACGUGAGUAACCUGCCCUUGACUUUGGGAUAACUUCAGGAAACUGGGGCUAAUACCGGAUAGGAGCUCCUGCUGCAUGGUGGGGGUUGGAAAGUUUCGGCGGUUGGGGAUGGACUCGCGGCUUAUCAGCUUGUUGGUGGGGUAGUGGCUUACCAAGGCUUUGACGGGUAGCCGGCCGGAGAGGGUGACCGGCCAAAAUGGGAAUGGGAGGCGGCCGAAGCUCCUAGGGGGGGAAGGAGGGGGGAAUUUGGCACAAGGGGCGGGAGCCUGAUGAAGGAACGCGGAGGGGGGGAUGAGGGCCGUCGGGUGGAAAACCGGUUUGGCUGGGAAGGAAGGGGAGGGAAGGGAAAUGGGUAAAAAAGCACCGGUAAAUAAGGG